rnacentral:tRNA from 1 species
GUAGUCGUGGCCAAGUGGUUAAGGCGAUUGACUAGAAAUCCAUUGGGGUCUCUACCUGCAGGUUCAAGUCCUGCUAACUAUA